GGCUGAGGCUGAAUCUUAUGAACCGCCCCCCAAACAGACAUACCAGAGGACAGAGCUGGAAAAUACACAGGUAAAUAAACGCCACUGGUAAACAGAAGGGUUUCAAGUCACACCAAUGAAAUUCCCAUGUA
rnacentral:lncRNA from 1 species